rnacentral:lncRNA from 1 species
CCAUCUCUGUGUGGCUCGCAGCUCGAAAAGUAGCCCAACAGUUGGACUGAAUGAUUCCGUUUGUGUGCUGGAUUCCCUCAGAAUGCUAAUGGGAUCUAAGAUGAAAGACCCUCUGAGCCCGUGGUCCUCCUCAGAGGGCUCCCUCACUGAGGGGCCAACGUCAGAACAAGCACUGGAAGAUUCUAAUACUGCCACCUACUGCUGUGUGCAUCUGCAACUGGAGACCCUCCCCCGCCUUUCCUUGUGCAGUGUGCUUGACUUCCUCUACCAAAACGGAUACCUCUCACACAUUUUGUGAUAGGGAAGCCACAUUUGAGCUGUGCAGUCACGGGUCUUGUUUUCACUUUAUACUUUGAGCCCCUCAGUGGCAAGAGGCGAGCCCUUUGUGUAGGCUCAAACCAUGCAGUUCAAACCAUGCAGGGUAGCCACAGGCAUUUGCUGCUUCGUAGUUCCUGUGUGUGGUGCCCCGCCCUUCCUGUGUGUGUGGAGCUUGGGUUACAGAAACUUCCUGACACAGCACAUUGUUGUUAGUGCCCUGUGUGGUGCACCUGAGGAAGCUGUUGUAGGACCUGCAGCGUCUGGGGUGCUGAAGGAGCUUGCAGUGUAAGAACAUUGUGGGUUUCGGGGCUGGGGAUUUAGCUCAGUGGUAGAGCGCUUGCCUAGGAAGCGCAAGGCCCUGGGUUCGGUCCCCAGCUCCGAAAAAAAGAACCAAAAAAAAAAAAAAAAAGAACAUUGUGGGUUUCAUCUGAGGUCUGGUUUUUAACCAAAGAUUAGCACAUAACUAGGUUUUCUAUUUCUCUGAAGCAGGGUCUUGGGCAGGCAAGAUAGCUCUGCAAGCCUGGUGACCUGAGUCCAGUCACUGGGCUACUGUGAUUGUCCCCGACUAGUCCUGUCAAGGCGCACACAUGCCCGGGGAGCCAGGAACAGGCGGGCCUUGAUGAGUGUUGGGCCCCGCUUAGUUGACCUCCACACCAGCUAAGGCUACAUAAUGAGACCCCAUCUCUAUAAAAGACUGAUAAUAAACAAAUGUGGACACUGAACCACUGAAACAGUCCCAUCGGCCUACUUCUAUAUGCAUGUAUUUUUUCUUUUUAUAGAUUUUUUUUUUCAAUUUUGUGUGUGUUUGGCCUGAGUACCACAUGUGUAUGCUUGGUACUACUAUGCAAGUGCUUACUG